UUUAAGUUGCUGAGUCUGAGUGACCUUAGCUUAGACAUGGCGCACACGAUAUAACGUUUUGGUACGCUAACAUUACAUACGGCAACCGAAGCCAAUUAGCCAACUAGCGCUACCGUUAGCUAACGUUAGGUAGGUUGUGCCAGUGUGAGUAUAGCUGUUUUGACAUUGUCUUUCUGUGCUGUGUUGGGCGGGGUACAUAGAGGUGUCAGUGUUCCGCACAGCAAGCUAACGUAGCAACCACCACAGAUGCUAGCUAACUUUAGCUUCUAAUGCUAGCCAGUGAAAUUAUCUGACACUUGCAAGCUAGGUCUACAGAUAAGCCAGUAGCCAGCUGCUACUACCAGUUGCUGGCAACGUCUGGGAGAACCACCUUGUAACUGAGCUUGUACCCCCCUUCAACACACACACAAAGACACAUUGACACAUGAAUACAAAUUGGAAUUAUCUGUUGGUCGAGGUUUCAUGUUAUAUCCACGAAUUUGUAUUCUGUAGCUUUUUGUUAAUAUACUCCGUAGAACCAUGCCGAGACUUAUCAAUUUGAUUUCAACAACAAAGUCUUUUCGUUGCUAAAUGUUAAAUGAUGGUAGACACUUGGGCGUGGGAAAGCGACAUACUUUUGAGAUGCGACUGCUAAUGCAGUCCAGUCAUCUAUUUUUGUAUCCGAUUUAGAAGCAUUACACUAGUCAGUUUAUAACAGAUGUACACUGAUAAAAAUACCAGCAAGACUUUAACUCUUUAGACAAGCGGCUGACUGAAACCUUCUUUGCUAAUUCAGAUAGCAGUUCACCUCCUAGUUAAAAUACCUAUCCACCGCAUUGAUAGCUUCAGUGUAGCUGGGUGUUGUGACUGUAGAUAGCGUUUGCCUAACAUAAAGCUUUGGUGUGCAGUUGUGUAAGCAUCUGUAGCUUGUGAUUUAGGAUUAGUGAAGCAUUCCAUUUCUUCUUAUUCAGCUAGAGAUAUCCCACAUCGUUUCACCUGUCAAAUGUGGCAUGUUGGAAAGGUUUUGAGGGUAUAUAUGGUGCUGGCCAAAUUUAGAAAUAAAUCCAAAGUGGUGUGAUUAUAGUAAUGACAAUUUAUUGCAUGAUUCUGUAAAGGUUUUUAAUUUAUUGCACAAUAAAUGACGCAUAGACAUACAACAUGGUGGAAUUGUUUGCCGUAUAUUAUCUAGGCUAUAUUGCAUGACCUUGUGCUAAUCUGCACAUAAUCACUCUCCUCUGAAGACUUUUGAGGAUUACUCUGCUUUCUCUUAAAAGUGUACCAGCAUUUGGUUUACUGGAAACCAAAUUAUGCCCUCAUAAAUCAAGUGCUAAAAACCAUACAACUCAGUUUUCCAGCUGUAUAGCAGUCUUGCAAGAAGGACAAUUGAUGCAUGUGCUUUUUUCAAAACCCAGAUCUGGUUUACAAUCACAGCAUCAUAGGUAUAGUGUUGUCUUCAAAUUGUUAAAAUUGAGAGUCCUGGUCCUCUCUUUCCCACCAAGUCCCAUCUUUGCUCACAAAUAGUUUACUUUGGUUUUUGUAAAUGUAUUAUGUUUACUUAUCACAAGCCUUUGUAAGUGAACACAUUUGAGAAGAGUAAAUUGGCAGUGGGCUAUUAGCAGGUAACUCAAUAAGCAGUUCAUCCGUCCAUCCUGUUCUGCUUAUUCACAGCCAGCAGCCUGCACUGGUCCUUCUUAAUGCUUUAUGGAAAUCACCCUUCCAUUUUCCAUUUGUGAAUAAUGAUUAUUCUAAUAAUGUUGCAGUGUAAAGGGAAAGUAUUUGUUGCUCAGUAAUUCCCCACUGAUGACCUUUUUAAUUUUAUUUGUCAACAGUGGAACAGAUGACCUCUUUGACACAAUUUUAUACUGUUUGUUCUUUCAGUUUGUUCCUUCAAGAUACAGCCCUUGUUUGUGACCUUAAUCUGUGGAAACUGUUCUAGCUGUCUCCACUUUGAAAGUGGAGUUUAUUUACUAUAGCAUCGAAAAGAAUGAGAUUAAUGGUGUGUUUGCUGAUGGGCAGAGUUUGCCCUCUAUUUCACUUCACUAGUGGGCCUGCAGGGACUCCACUGUGAAUUUCCCAUCUGCUCACCCUUGUGGUAUUAAAGUCUGUAAAGUGAGUUAAUUGAGUUCUUUUAUAGCUUGGGAUCACUAUUCCACAGUUCACAGUUCCUCCUCUUUCUAUUCUGCUGUCUUUCUCACUCACUUUUUAUUAAGGCAAAACAAUUUCAGUGGCAAAAAUCUUACCAGCAGAAGAGUGUGGGUUUGAAAGGAUUGAGAUCUGUCUGAUGUCUGCAGGAAGCCUUCUGUGAUUGUAGUCUCAGGAAGUGGUGUGGCCCCACCGUGCUGCUACGUCAGCAGCAUGUGCUGUUAUUUAUGCCACAGGAAGUUGCAGGGAGGUCAUUGUCUGUCUGUCUUUCAUUUUUAAUCUAGAGAGGCAUUGGCAUUGUGAGAGAGCGCCUGAAGAUUCAUACUUGAUAUAUUGUUUUGGUUACUUUCUUGAUUAUCCACUAUGACUGUUUUAUAAAUAAAGUAGUGCUUGCUUUAUUUUGUCUUCUACAAGGAAUGCAGAGCAAAAGCUGUCAACAGAGAUACUCAUCAGAUUAUGUUGCUGUUUUCUUAAGUAUCAGUAUAUUUGACAAAUAGAGACAUUGCUGAGACAAUCAUAAGGAUUUCAUAAUUUAUGGAAGUUUUUUGCCCUUUCCAUCUUUCAUUUGUAGUUUUGGCAGUAACAGUGUUCUUUAGGGGUGAUAGCAUGGGCACAACUACCUACCACAUAACAACUUUUCCCCCCAUAGUUGUGAUUGUUUGAUGGGUGGAGUUGGAAUCUGCUAUGUAAACACAUUCCUUAUGAACUUGGAGGCGCUCCCUGGAGGAACACCACUCACAAUGGCUCUUUCUGCAGAAUUGCUCACGGAAGGAAGUAAUCCCACUUGACCUAUGUGUUUCUGAGUAAGCAGGGCUCCAACAGUGACUAGAGCAUGACAGAGGUGGGCAGGUGUCACUGACACCAAAUGUCCUUGAUGAUAUUAAGUAAUGGGAAGUUAACAGAUAUGACUUGAAUUCUACGACUGAGCAUGUUUGUUUUUCCCUUGCCCUUGACAUUUGAUGUCUUAAGAAGGUGCGGUGUCCGGGACGCACUGUUAGGAUGACAAAUUGAUGAUGGUGUAACUUUGCAUAAAUGCUGAUAAGAUAGUGAGCCAUGAAAAUUAAGACUGGGCAUUUUCUGUGCUAAAAGGUACAAAACAAAACUGUUGAAAAAGGUGUAAAAGACAUCCUUUUUGUAGGGACUUAAAGCAGCAAAGUGAAAGAUGGUGCGUAGCCUCUUCUCUCAUUUGAGACUUAACAUUGCCAGUUUCUCUCCCCUGAAGCUGUUACAGUAUGCAAAUGAGCUGAGUUUUCCUGGCUGAGCUGGUCUGAUGUACAGUAGCAACUAGGUCAUAAUUAUUUUACUGUGCAAUAUGUGAUACUAUGCUACCCAGUAGACAUGAUGUGAAAAUAGGUGAACAACUAGUGUUGAGCGAUGGUUUGAUUAAAUCAUUAAUCUUUGUGUUACAGACACUGUUGAUGUGUAUAAUAUCGUGAUGUAAGAAGCAGUUUUAUUAGUUCUCUUUAUUUUACCCGAUUACUUAUUGUACUGCUGUCAUUUAAUUCUCCCUACAAGUAUAAUCCUACUGUCACUGAACAUUGUCACAUUUUUAUGGCAACUUUGUCCAGCAGAAAUAGGGGGUGUGUGGGACUGUAGGACCAUCACAUUGUGUCGCUGGGCUCAGUACCAGACUGGAAUCACCUGACAGUUAUAUUGUACACCACAGUCGAUGGAUGUAAGAUGACCCUGAUUAUAAGAUGAUUCCCCCUUUUGCAACACCUGUUUGUGGAUAAGACUUUUCAAAGUUGAAAAAGACUUUGAAUAAAACAAGGUAGGCAGAUAUGAUAUAUUUGAAGCAUUCGAAAUGUAUUGUCACACAUAAAAUACAGUAAACUAACAAAAACAAAAUAGCCAGUAUCAGAAUUCCUUAAUUGGACAACUGGGUAGAUGAGAUGCUGACAUCCUGUUUGGACCUUAAUGGCUAUGGAGCUUUCUCCCUGUAUCUGACCUAGUUUCAUCUUCAUGAGACUAGGAUCUGUUCACUCACCUACCUCAGGGCGCUAAAAACACAUUAAAGCUCAAAUACACUCACACAUUCAAUCUUCUGUUUCACUACAGACACAUUUGCUUCUGACCCGAGUUUAUUGAUUCUUGCUUUUGAUAAAUUUGCUUCUGACUGUUUUGUCCGAACUUUGCAAUAAUCCAAAUAGAACUGUAACUAAUAUAUUUUUAAAUACUAACCUAUUAAUCUUAACAACCCUAAGGGAUGUCUUGCUUAUUUUGUCUGUUCAACAGCCUCAAAACCCCAAAGGCCCACAUUUGGGAAGGUGCAACCAAUGACAGUCAGCUGAUUGGUGGAUAGACACAGAGCACAACGCGUCAUACUCCACACCCGCCGGAGGGAAAAACAAUCGGCGCCACAAUAUGCAACCAAGGGCUGAAACGCUAACAAAAUGCCUGUAGCUAGCUAAAAACAUCAGAUUUCAGCAUGUCAAAGGAUUGUUUUAGCACCAUAUGUCUACCAGAGAGGAAAGAGUAUAUUGACAAACUCAAUAUUGUCGGUCUAUCUCAGUGUCCCUUCUCCUUACCUUACUUCUCUUGGAGAAAUGCUACUGUAGUUAGCUGAGGCACUUGCAAACAUAAUACUGCAUAGCUUUCUGAUUUAUCCACAUUUCACUAUAACACAAGUUGCAUACUGUCAAAACACUUUAGCUUAACUUAUAGAAAUAUAGUUAGCCUAAAACUGACAUUUGGAUAUUUGACCAGUGACAAAUGCUUCCUGCGCAUGUAACGAAUGUCAGGAUCCCACCGCUGAUGCCUCAAGUCUUACUGCCACUUUUGUCUUCUUAAAGGCUCAGUUUUUCGGUUCGGCAACUUAUAAAAACUUAGUUCUGGUUUCUUUACCCUGUUGGUAGUGCAUCCCACCACACGGCAGCUUUUAGGCAUUUUUCUGUUGUUUGCAAGCGGACCAAAGUGACAAGGAGUCACCUUCACGCAAUACAAAGUCAAUGGAGAGUAAUAAAUUGUUUUUCCCUCUGGUGUGACUUAA